rnacentral:lncRNA from 1 species
CAGUCUCAAUCACGUGGCUUGGUUUAGCCAAUUACAUCGGAGCUUACAUCUAGUUUAACUUCGUGGGUGAGAACUGGAAGGACUUCACAAGUGUUAUCUCCAUCUCUCUACUGUUUUAUCUCUAUCUGACGUGUGGCCCAUCCCACACAGGGAUGGCUACUCCUAACUCUGGAUUGUGGAGUGACGAAGCCACACAGGGCAGAACAGAGCUACAGUCAAGCAACAUAAUAGAAGCUUCCUGACGGAGCAGAAGCUAACGUGGGAGUUCUGCCUGGAACUACAGUGCUACACAAAGGUGUGCACAAUGCAGACAAUGUACUACUUCCUGCCGGUGCAGAGAGCGGGCAGCAGUGUGUCCAGAAACAA